AACAGGUUUGGUGGUCAUCAUACAUUCACCUAUAAAGGAAGUGAACAAUAAACAACAAGAUACUACAUUCAAUAAAAUUUACUUCCGUCCCUUCUUUGCAAAAUGAAGAAGAAAAAAAAAGACAAUAUUGUGACAAUUUUAUAUCACUUUUAGUUAUCCUCCGCAAUACAAAUUCUUCGAAUCGAUUGAUUUUUGGAAGCGGUCAAUUAUCCACGGUUUGCAAACAUCCAGUUCGGAACGAGCAUAGCUUACCACGUCGAACAUGGUUAAAUAAAGGCACUAAUAUAUAUACGCAAACCCUUGUUCCGGCGAAGAGAAUUGCCACUAGGGAAGUAAUCGAUGAAUGGUUUACGAUGGAAGAAUCGGAUGGGCUAAUAUUGCAAUAAGAUGACAAAUGAAAUAUUCACUCCUUGCUGCAAAAAUCCAAUCAACCUAAGUGGCAUGUCAGAAAAUUAUGUAGUGAAGCACGGUUAUUUUCCAUGGGGGCACGGAGAAAAAGUAACAACUAAGUAACGGUUUAUCAAGAUGCUCGUAUUGAAGUAAGUAAGAAACUUUGAGUACCCCCAAUGUAAAACUGUAAGAAAUUUGAUCUUGAAUUAUUACAUAUAUAGUCGCGCGGUGUAUAUGUGACAAUUACCGUUCUAAAUUACCUGAUGAUAUAUGCUUGACCUAUUCCGAUUGUUACAGGGGCAAAACCGUCACAAGCCACAAGUGACUGAAGCUCGACAUCAAUUGCGAGAGCAUCUUGAUAAAGCGUUAUUUUUGUUUCCUCGUUCCUUGUCGCCAUGGAAAAUAACUAUGUUUUACUCAAAAUUUUCUGAGAUGCCACUUAGUUAGUUGGGAUUUUUGUGGCAAGGAGUAUUUAUUGUAAACUAUCCUUCUAUUGUAAUUUGUAAACCAUUCAUCUAUCAUCUUCCUUGUAGCAAUAUUUUUAUUCGGAAACAAUAUAAUGGCAAUCUUUAACUCUGCA